GGUUAAGUCAGGCAACGAGCGAGACCCCUGCUUCUAGUUGCUACUUUCAUUCUUCGGAGUGGAAGGGCUAAUUAGAAGGACUGCCGCCGCUAAGGCGGAGGAAGGAGGGGGCUACGGCAGGUCAGUAUGCCCCGAAACCCUCGGGCCACACGCGGGCUGCAAUGGUAAGUACAAUAGGUUCCGAUUCCGAAAGGAGAAGGCAAUCUUCAAACCUUACCUCAGUUAUGAUUGAGGGCUGAAACUCGUCCUCAUGAAUAUGGAAUCCCUAGUAACCGCGUGUCACUAUCGCGCGGUGAAUACGUCCCUGCUCCUUGCACA
rnacentral:rRNA from 1 species